GUCCGUUAGUGAUCGAGAGCAUUGAGCUUCUUCAUAUAGCUUCUAUGGUUAAAUUGCCAUAAAAACGUCAUAAGUGAAGGCCGUGGAUCAGAAUUAAUGCCCAAAGAUGGCGCAUCCAAAUGCUGCAAUCGCUCUGCCUUUAUUCAGGUCAUAAAUGCUGCCAAAAGGAGAUCUGAUAUGCUGGUACAAGUUGGGCUAGAGUACAGAUAAAUGCCACUAGUUGCAAAACUGAUAGACAGUUAAAGGAGGAUCUAUAGGAAAAGUGAAGAUGGGGGGCACUUCGAAAACAUCGAUUUCCAUUCCUUAUCAAGGUCAAUAAUGCUGCUCCUUACCGUCAAGUGCUGAAAGCCCCUCGAAUCUUCCUUGAGUUGACGUCAUUGGGACAUCUACCGCUUGGAUCCUGCCUUGUUAGUCAUCCGUAGAGCUAAAGGGAAUUUCAGAAGCCAUUCCUAUUCCCACACACUGUCAUUUCAUUGAUCUUAUGAGGCUUUCCAUUGGAGCAAAUCCUUUUUGAGUUAUGGCUUCUAGAACAAUGGAUUUGAAUCACAAGUAGGAAGUAUAUGAUGGACGAGUAAUUUACUUACAUGGAAAUAAUGUUUCGAGGAUUACUAAAUCAACCUUACUUGAAUUUGAGGUCUGAGUUGAAGCCAUCUAUUUGAAACAUAGAAAGGAUCUAACUUGAGUAAUAUUCAUAAUUGUAAAACUUCCUUUUUAUCAAUUUCACUUCAUCUCUAAAUGCUUGAUCUGUUGAGCUAGCUAAACCGGAGAAAAAUCAGAACAAAUUCAUAUAACACCAGAAGUAUUGAUUGAACAACUCUGUAGUAUAUUAAUGCAUGGACAGAGGUUCAACUUAAGGAGAAACACGAGACUAAUCUUCCCGACUUAUUGACGGCACCUGCUUAUAUCUCCUUUGCCAUAGUAACUAAAUUAGUUUUGGAACAUGUCAGACAUAAUAGAUCAUUAUACUCAAAUAUGAGGAAAAAUAACAAGCAUGAUCACUAUUAAGUAGUUUAGUGUUGAUGACUGGCUAAUCGAUAAGUUUUUGAGGGAUAUAAAGCAGAAUAAACACGUGAAAUUAAACAUGGUUUUGUUAGAAUAGGUUUGUGUAGCAUGGUUUUAACUACUUCUCUUUUCGAUAUUCAGGUGCCUGACAAUGCUUAUGUAAUUGUGGAAUUCGACAAUUGUUGUUGUGGCAUGCUUGAUCUCUGUAUGUUUGCUGAGCGAAGUAAAAUGAGCAUGCAAGAUAAUAAUUUAUCACAAUAAAGAGGAACUAAGAUUUUUUACGUGAUCCAAGAUAUAUGAUGUAUAUGUCAUUCUGAAGGUCCUUCAGAAAUGAUUAGCCGAGUUCUUGGAUAAGGCAUAAAUAUUUGGGAUCGAGGCAUAGAUGAGUGAUUGAUAUUCAUUUGCUAUUUUGAUGUUGGAUUAUACUGCAGAUGAUUGAUUGGUGUUCAUUGAAUAUCUUGAUGCUGGAUCUUACUGCAUUUUUAGUUGUGUUUUGAGCAUCAAGAAUGGUACAAUCUCAACCAUUUAGGAAAUCUGCCACAGUUAUGAAUAGGUCCAGUAUGACGAGAUUAUGGUGUUCUGAUUUAUACAAACUAACAUAUAUGUGAUUGUUUCUUAAAUGUGCAAUUACUCCUCUGUGGAAGG